rnacentral:rRNA from 1 species
AUUGAACGCUGGCGGCAUGCCUUACACAUGCAAGUCGAACGGCAGCACGGGUGCUUGCACCUGGUGGCGAGUGGCGAACGGGUGAGUAAUAUAUCGGAACGUACCUUAUUGUGGGGGAUAACGCAGCGAAAGCUGUGCUAAUACCGCAUAAUCCCUAAGGGGGAAAGCGGGGGACCGUAAGGCCUCGCGCAAUUAGAGCGGCCGAUACCUGAUUAGCUAGUUGGUGAGGUAAAGGCUCACCAAGGCAACGAUCAGUAGCUGGUCUGAGAGGACGAUCAGCCACACUGGGACUGAGACGCGGCCCAGACUCCUACGGGAGGCAGCAGUGGGGAAUUUUGGACAAUGGGGGCAACCCUGAUCCAGCAAUGCCGCGUGAGUGAGGAAGGCCUUCGGGUUGUAAAGCUCUUUUGUCAGGGAAGAAACAGCAGCUCUAACACAGUAUGCGAAUGACGGUACUUGAAGAAUAAGCACCGGCUAACUACGUGCCAGCAGCCGCCGUAA